CUCUGGACUCCCUCUGCCAUUUCUCAACCUGCUUCCCGGCCUUGCUCUGCUCUCUCUCCUCUUGGUCAUGUCUUAACCUCCGAACUCCCCAUGAACUUUGUCUCGAAGAUGCCCCUGGUCUUUAAUGUCUCAGAGAUUUGUCCCCGGAAGAGGAAGCCACGCCUGGUCAGAUCAAUCAAAAUCUGCCUGACGAUCUCUCCCAGGUCAUCAUCGUCCCCACUGUGUCGUUCACUAUGGCAACCACAUCCAGCUCAAACUCCUGUGAAAACAAACAGCAAGAAAAUGACUCACAGGUUUUCAUUGAACAUUAAAAUGUUCAAGUCCACAUUUUAUAUCCAGCACUUGUUGGUGAAUCGGUGU